rnacentral:rRNA from 1 species
GAUGAACGCUAGCGGCAGGCCUAAUACAUGCAAGUCGAGGGGUAACACAGGUAGCAAUACUGGGUGACGACCGGCGCACGGGUGCGUAACACGUAUAUAAUCUGCCCUUAUCAGGAGGAUAGCCCGGAGAAAUUCGGAUUAAUACUCCAUAACAUUGCUUUGUGGCAUCACAGAGCAAUUAAAGUUCCGACGGAUAAGGAUGAAUAUGCGACUGAUUAGCUAGUUGGUGAGGUAACGGCUCACCAAGGCGACGAUCAGUAGGGGUACUGAGAGGUUAAACCCCCACACUGGUACUGAGGCACGGACCAGACUCCUACGGGAGGCAGCAGUAAGGAAUAUUGGACAAUGGAGGCAACUCUGAUCCAGCCAUGCCGCGUGCAGGAAGAAGGCGCUACGCGUUGUAAACUGCUUUUAUAACAGAGAAAACCCCGGUACGUGUACUGGGUUGAUAGUAUGUUAAGAAUAAGCAUCGGCUAACUUCGUGCCAGCCGCCGCCGUAAGAC